AUUGAACGCUGGCGGCAGGCCUAACACAUGCAAGUCGAGCGAGCGGCGGACGGGUGAGUAAUGUCUGGGAAACUGCCUGAUGGAGGGGGAUAACUACUGGAAACGGUAGCUAAUACCACAUACUAUCGGAUGUGCCCAGAUGGGAUUAGCUAGUGGGUGGGGUAACGGCUCACCUAGGCGACGAUCCCUAGCUGGUCUGAGAGGAUGAUCAGCCACACUGGAACUGAGACACGGUCCAGACUCCUACGGGAGGCAGCAGUGGGGAAUAUUGCACAAUGGGCGCAAGCCUGAUGCAGCCAUGCCGCGUGUGUGAAGAAGGCCUUCGGGUUGUAAAGUACUUUCAGCGGGGAGGCGUUACCCGCAGAAGAAGCACCGGCUAACUCCGUGCCAGCAGCCGCGGUAAUAC
rnacentral:rRNA from 1 species